rnacentral:rRNA from 1 species
AGAGUUUGAUACUGGCUCAGAACGAACGCUGGCGGCGUGCUUAACACAUGCAAGUCGAACGCGAAAGAGUUCUUCGGAACUUGAGUAGAGUGGCGCACGGGUGAGUAACGCGUAAGUAAUCUACCCUGGUAUCUGGGAUAACCCACCGAAAGGUGUGCUAAUACCGGAUACGCUGAUUUAUCAGGAAAGGUGGCCUCUUCAUGAAAGCUACUGUACUAGGAGGAGCUUGCGUACCAUUAGCUAGUUGGUAGGGUAAUGGCCUACCAAGGCGACGAUGGUUAGCGGGUCUGAGAGGAUGAUCCGCCACACUGGAACUGGAACACGGACCAGACUCCUACGGGAGGCAGCAGUGAGGAAUAUUGCGCAAUGGGGGAAACCCUGACGCAGCGACGCCGCGUGGAUGAUCAAGGCCUUCGGGUCGUAAAAUCCUGUCAGAUGGAAAGAAAUGCAUAUUUAUUAAUACUGAAUAUGUUUGACGGUACCAUCAAAGGAAGCACCGGCUAACUCCGUGCCAGCAGCCGCGGUAAUACGGGGGGUGCAAGCGUUAUUCGGAAUCAUUGGGCGUAAAGAGCACGUAGGCGGCCUGGUAAGUCAGACGUGAAAGCCCGGGGCUUAACCCCGGAAGUGCAUUUGAUACUGUCAGGCUUGAGUAUGGGAGAGGGAAGUGGAAUUCCUGGUGUAGAGGUGAAAUUCGUAGAUAUCAGGAGGAACACCGGUGGCGAAGGCGACUUCCUGGACCAAUACUGACGCUGAGGUGCGAAGGCGUGGGUAGCAAACAGGAUUAGAUACCCUGGUAGUCCACGCAGUAAACGUUGUUCACUAGGUGUAGCGGGUAUUGACCCCUGCUGUGCCGCAGUUAACGCAUUAAGUGAACCGCCUGGGGAGUACGGCCGCAAGGUUAAAACUCAAAGGAAUUGACGGGGGCCCGCACAAGCGGUGGAGCAUGUGGUUUAAUUCGACGCAACGCGAAGAACCUUACCUGGAUUUGACAUCCCGGGAAUCCUAUCGAAAGACUGGAGUGCCCUUCGGGGAGCCCGGAGACUGGUGCUGCAUGGCUGUCGUCAGCUCGUGUCGUUAGAUGUUGGGUUAAGUCCCGCAACGAGCGCAACCCUUGUCUUUAGUUACCAUCAUUCAGUUGGGGACUCUAAAGAUACUGCCCCGGUCAACGGGGAGGAAGGUGGGGAUGACGUCAAGUCCUCAUGGCCUUUAUGUCCAGGGCUACACACGUGCUACAAUGGGCUGUACAAAGGGUCGCGAACCCGCGGGGGUAAGCCAAUCCCAAAAAGCAGUCCCAAGUUCGGAUUGGAGUGCAACUCGACUCCAUGAAGCUGGAAUCGCUAGUAAUCGCGGAUCAGCAUGCCGCGGUGAAUACGUUCCCGGGCCUUGUACACACCGCCCGUCACACCAUGAGAGUUGGUUGUACCAGAAGUCGUCGGGCUAACCUUUCGAGGAUGCAGGCGCCUAAGGUAUGGCUGAUAAUUAGGGUGAAGUCGUAACAAGGUA